GCUGGGGUAGUCUAAUAGACACUCGAUUUCGACUCGAGAGAACUUAAAAACUUUAAGCCACAGUA
rnacentral:tRNA from 1 species